rnacentral:rRNA from 1 species
GAAGUCAGUUCUUAUUUAAUAUACACAUGCAAGUCUCCGCACCCCUGUGAAAACGCCCUAAUAACCCCAAUAGGGAAUAGGAGCUGGUAUCAGGCACAACCUCCUUGCCCAAAACACCUAGCCUCGCCACACCCACAAGGGCCCUCAGCAGUGAUUAACAUUGAGCAUAAGCGACAGCUUGACUCAGUUAAAUUGCCCAGAGCCGGCCAAUCUGGUGCCAGCCGCCGCGGUUAUACCAGAAGCUCAAAUUGACUUAUAUCGGCGUAAAGCGUGAUUAAAGAUUUAAAUUUUUGGAGUCCAAUUAAAAUUAAGCUGUGACACGCCUGCUACCUAAGAAGACCUGAAACGAAAGUUAUUCCAA